rnacentral:rRNA from 1 species
UACGGGGGGAGCAAGCGUUGUUCGGAUUUACUGGGCGUAAAGGGCGCGUAGGCGGCGCAACAAGUCACUUGUGAAAUCUCCGGGCUUAACCCGGAGCGGCCAAGUGAUACUGUCGUGCUAGAGUGCGGAAGGGGCUACUGGAAUUCUCGGUGUAGCGGUGAAAUUCGUAGAUAUUGGGAGGAACACCGGUGGCGAAGGCGGCCCCCUGGACCGGUACCGACGCUGAGGCGCGAAAGCGUGGGUAGCAAACGGG